GUGCUCACUUCAGCAGCACAUGUACUAAAAUUGAAAGAUACAAAGAAGAUUGGCAUGACCCCUGUGCAAGGAUGACAUGCAAAUUCUUGAAGUGUUCCAUAUUUUU
rnacentral:snRNA from 1 species